AUUGAACGCUGGCGGCAUGCUUUACACAUGCAAGUCGAACGGUAACAGGCCGCAAGGUGCUGACGAGUGGCGAACGGGUGAGUAAUGUAUCGGAACGUGCCCAGUCGUGGGGGAUAACGCAGCGAAAGCUGUGCUAAUACCGCAUACGAUCUAUGGAUGAAAGCGGGGGACCGUAAGGCCUCGCGCGAUUGGAGCGGCCGAUAUCAGAUUAGGUAGUUGGGGGGGUAAAGGCUCACCAAGCCGACGAUCUGUAGCUGGUCUGAGAGGACGACCAGCCAACCUGGGACUGAGACACGGCCCAGACUCCUACGGGAGGCAGCAGUGGGGAAUUUUGGACAAUGGGCGCAAGCAUGAUCCAGCAAUGCCGCGUGCAGGACGAAGGCCUUCGGGUUGUAAACUGCUUUUGUACGGAGCGAAACGGCCCUCUCUAAUAAAGAGGGCUAAUGACGGUACCGUAAGAAUAAGCACCGGCUAACUACGUGCCAGCAGCCGCGGUAAUAC
rnacentral:rRNA from 1 species